ensembl:lncRNA
AGGCCUAUAUGAAUUCUACCAUUAAGGCCUAUAUGAAUUCUACCAUUAAGGCCUAUCUGAAUUCUACCUUUGAUAUACAUCUCAUGAGUAGCAGACCCCUUUCCCCCUUUCUUCCUGUGCCAAUGCCAUUCCAAAUGUGUUCCUAUAUACUCCACCAGUCGGACGCUUCAUAAUACCCAUAAAACCUUGCAGUCAAACACAUGAAUUGUUCCAAUCAUUUUCCCACCAAUUAUGUGUCCGGUUUAGGCUUGGCGUUGCGUUUUGAUAACCUUGGAAAUAUCUCUCCUCUGACAACUUGAGUCAUCAAUAUAUUUGCCUUUUAAAUUAAAUUAAAAAUAAAGUGAAAUGCUAAUUAGCAAACGAAGAACACCUCAGAAACACCACGAAUUCCUGCAGGAAGCUCCCGCACGUCACCUCUAGCCGACACGGUCAGCUACUCUUCACCUACUCGAUCAGAGAUCGGCGCCCAAUGCCAUGAUGAACACGUGCUGUAUUGAAAUCAAUUUACUAAAAAGUGUUGAACUUCUUCUGUCCCAUGUCUCGGUCUUAAACUAGCGACCGACAAAACUUUAGCUAGCUAGUUACACAUAUUUUUGGAUGACUCAGCCCUUGAUAACUGUUUGUACAGUAUGUCGACAUUGGUGUCUAUUUCACACACAUGGCUUUUUCCAAGGAUGACCACCAUCAGUCUGGCCACAUGGAGGAGACCAGCAUCAGUCUGGCCAUGUGAAGACCAGCAUUAGUCUGGCUGAGACCACUAUCAGUCUGGCCACGUGAAAACCAGCAUUAGUCUGGCCACGUGGAGAAGACCACUAUCAGUCUGGCGUGAAGACCAGCAUUAGUCUGGAAGGAGACCAGCAUCAGGCUGGCCAUGUGAAGACCAGCAUUAGUCUGGCCACGUGAGAAGACCACUAUCAGGCUGGCCAUGUGGAGAAGUGCAGCUAUAGUGAGGGACCUAGCGGUUUGCUCAGGGCCAGCGUGAGGGAAAAAAGUACACCCUGUGUCGGUGACUGUAGCUAUUACGUUAAGUUUGUGCAUCUUAGCAAUACACUGUGUUCUAUCCAGCUGUCAGCCUUCUCCAAGGAACGAGCCACUUAAUCAUUAACCAGAUUAACCCGGAUACCAAACUUAGAUACGUGAUAACUCAGUUCUAGAAUGUUGUCAUUGAUGAGAAUGAAUCUAAACGCAUAGAAAUUCAGAAUGUACAUAGUUUAGACGUAUUGUAGUUUCAUGACCAGAGACACUUCUUCAACAGGCACAGUAUUUAUUAAUUCAGAGUGGUACAUGCAUUCACUGUCUGGAUUUAUAGAAUCCUUCAGACUAUAUGAUUGAUAUCGUCAAGUGAUAAAAUCCCAAGUUAUCAAUGAAAAAAAAGGUUCAUGGAAUUGUAUAAAAUAUUCUAACGCUGUAAUGUCAUCAAAUCAAAUUUUCAUCAUUUUUUUUUUUUUUUUUUUUACAACAAAAGGCAUUUCAAGGUGCAUUUAACCUCCUUCCUGUUGGCAGGCCUCUAUAGGUGACCACUUCCUGUUGGCAUGUUUCUUGUUUCUAUAGGUGACCAGGGGAUUCUCUCUCCAACAUGUAAAAGCCUCCGUGGAGCUCAUCAGUGUAGCCUGCACAAAAUCGGCCAUACGGGUGUGGAAUGCGAGUGGAGGAAGCCAGCCGUGCCCAACCAGGUGCAGUCAACUGGAGGACCUGUACCCGGCUGAAGACUACAACCCUCUGUCCCUAGAGCCCCCAGAGGAGGAUCUUCAGUGUCUAAGGAACCCUCUCCGGGGCAGGUUCAGUGGAAUGGCAUGUCUCCUUAAACCUGAGCCAGAACAACGGCUACCCUCCCUGUCAUCCCCGUCUGGGGCAUGCAGGCAUCCUGGCUAGCAUGGCGCAGUCGUUGGAGCAGCAGGAGGCUAUACGGCAGUGCACCAACCCCAACUGGCACACAUUGAGGAGAGGGAGGUUGACAGACAGCAAUGAUGGAGCAGUGGUUAGGGCCAAGCUCGUUACUCCAUCACUGCUGAAAGGGGUCCUCAGAUCAGUCGUUGGACGGGGUGUUGUCUGUAAAGUGGGGCAGAGAUAAAGAGGAGGGAAUCAAGGCAUUCAAAAUGGGGGGUUUGAAGGAGUUAGGGCUUUGAGUCACAUGGUCCUGGAUCCUGGGUGCCUCGUGGACGGUCUGGAAGUCAAGUGUCCCUAUGGUGCCAGGGACCUUAUCAUUGAAGAGGCAGUGAAGUCAAAUGAUUUUUUUUUUACAUCAAGGAUGGGAGGUUCUUACCACCUCCAUGAAGACCAUUCUUACUGGCACCAGGUCCAAGGUCAGAUCCACAUUACCGGAAGGGGACACCAAAGCCUCCAUCCCCAACCAGCGUGACGACCUCUGACAGACUCAUAUCGCUCCUCCUGUCAGUACCUGUUUUCAGGGAAGCCACUGCUCCAAAAAUAUUCCACAUAGUGUACACACACACACACACUAGGCUGCCAAAAUAAGUUAUAUAACACACAACUGUAGCUCAAAGCAGCUAACUAAAGUAAUGUAGUUAACAUAAGUACGAUCACAAAGGAACAGUCUCAUUCAGUAGUACAACAGUUCACGUUGCAUUUUAUCAUGGAUACAGCGGGAAUUUAUAUCUGUGAUGUUUAAAUUACGUCUUACCCCCAGAGUGUGAGAGAGAGAGAGCGAGUACAUCACUUCCAGUGCCUAUCGGAGUAGUAGUUACAGUCCGGUACAUAGCACAGAACCAUCCUUGCUUCUGCUUGAUGGAGAGACCUAAGGUUAGCUAGUUGGCUACAAGAGCCAGGGUAAAUUCAAUUCUAGUAAUACCAAAAAAAUGCUAAGGUAGCUAGCUAGGUAAGUUAAAAAUUUAGAAAAACAAGAAUACACACGAGAAAUAUACAAUAUCAAUUAUAUACACAAGAAACUAAAAAAAGGCUAUGAUAUCUACUUGCUAGGUUAGUCGCUAUUGUCGAUGAGAGUUUGCAUGGAGAAAUGUGGAGGUUUCAACCCCACCCUGCAACUUGAGUGAUUACCUCAAAGCUUGUGACAGGAUGUGUAGUUCUGUAUGAGAGCCACAUUGGCGGCUAAUUAGCAUAGACUUUUUGGGGUGGCAAUUACAUACAGACAAAAAUAUUGAUUUAAAAAAAUAAAUAAAAACUUGUCCAAAAGAGAGAUUUAUACGGUUCUCAAAACCUCACCUUUUAUGACAUAGUUCUAAAAUCCCCAACGGAAAAAGUGAAUGGUGGAAAAACGAUUGGAACCAUUUCUGGGUUUUACCGCUAGGUUUUGUGGGUAUUAUGACUCAUACUGGGGUACUCAAUAGGCAAGACCUACUGGUCAAGUAACCAGGUUAUUAGCUUGCUGGGUAAUAUGACUGAACACCGUUGUUUGUUAUCAAACCAAUAAUUAGCAGCCCGGGAUUAAUUUAAAAUUGACUACAAUUUGGAUUAUAAAAUUCAUGAAAAUGUGUGCUAAUUCACAAGAGAUAUAUAUAUUUAUAUCUAAUUAUUUUUUUCCUCUUAAAGGGUUGAUCAGCUUUACAUUGCUUCCUUCAAUGUAAUUGUCUGCAUCAUUCCCAGUGACCCCCAGCCAUAUAUUUUUGGUGUAAAUACACUUUAAAAAAAAAAGAAAAUACCUUUAUUAUUCCCUGCAAACCCUACCACCCCUCCCCCAAUUGGAGUAAACUAAUAAACAAUAACACUUAGGCUUCUACCUUCAGUUUAUACAUCCUAUACACAUUUAACAGAAUCUAUUUUACAAUAGUUAUAUUGUGUUUGUUUUUAGUCCUUCCUCUAUUUCUGAUGUCCAUCCAGUUUGAUUUCUAUUUGUAACUAUGCUAUUUUCACAACAUUUCUGAACCUGUAUACAUUUUAUUUAUUUUUACCCCGUAUGUUUUUAAUUUGUUAGUCAGGUUUGUAGGCCUCCUUGCUCGCACGUGCUUUUUCAGUUCUGCCCACACAUUUUCUAUAGGAUUGAGGUCAGGGAUUUGUGAUAGCCACUUCCAAUACCUUGACUUGGUUGCCCUUAAGCCAUUUUGCCACAACUUUGUAAGCAUGCUUGGGGUCAUUGUCCAUUUGGCAGACCCAUUUGCGACCAAGCUUUAACUUCCUGACUGAUGAUGUCUUGAGCUGUUGCUUCAGUAUAUCCACAUAAUUUCCCUGCCUCAUGAAGCUUAUAAGUGAAAUAGUCUGUCUGUAAACAAUUUUUGGAAAAAUUACUUGUGUCACGCACGAAGUAGAUGUCCUAACCGACUUGCCAAAACUAUAGUUUGUUAACAAGAAAUUUGUGGAGUGGUUGAAAAAAAUGUAUGUAAACUUCCAACUUCAACUGUAUGUAAAUGUGACGUUUCAGUUUGGUUCGAAUAAAUUAGUAACAAUUUCUAAAAACCUGUGUGUUUGCUUUGUCAUUAUAGGGUAUUGUGUGUAGAUUGAUGAGAAAGAAAAUAAAAUACAUUUUUAGAAUAAGGCUGUAACGUAACAAAAUGUGGAAGAGGUCAAGGCAUCUGAAUACACUGUAAUGUGUAUUAUUUAACAUUACUAUAAAAAUUAAAAAACAUUGUACACACUUACAGUAAUGGAUAAUUGUUGCUAGCUAUCCCAUAAAGCCAUCACAGAAAAGCUAAUUGUUAUCUUCUUCUGUAGUUUGGCAACUUCCUGUUCUUCGACCGACUCCGGCUGGGGUAUGCGGUUGUAUGACGUAUAAUGUAUCACGUAUGAAGUCGUAUGAUGACGUAUGAUGUAUCACGUAUGAAGUCGUAUGAUGACGUAUGAUGUAUCACGUAUAAUGUAUCACGUAUGAUGUAUCACGUAUGAUGUAUGAUGUCGUAUGAUGACGUAUGAUGUAUCACGUAUGAUGUAUCACGUAUGACGUAUGAUGUAUCACGUAUGAUGUAUCACGUAUGAUGUAUCACGUAUGACGUAUCACGUAUGACGUAUCACGUAUGAUGUAUGACGUAUGAUGUAUCACGUAUCACGUAUGACGUAUGAUGUAUCACGUAUGACGUAUCACGUAUGAUGUAUGACGUAUGAUGUAUCACGUAUGAUGUAUGAUGUUGUAUGAUAACGUAUGAUGUAUCACGUAUGAUGUAUGAUGUUGUAUGAUGACGUAUGAUGUAUGACGUAUGAUGUAUGAUGUUGUAUGAUGACGUAUGAUGUAUGCCGUAUAAUGUAUCACGUAUGAUGUAUGACGUAUAAUGUAUCACGUAUGAUGUAUGCUGUAUAAUGUAUCACGUAUGAUGUAUGACGUAUAAUGUAUCACGUAUGAUGUAUCACGUAUGAUGUAUGACGUAUAAUGUAUGACGUAUAAUGUAUCACGUAUGAUGUAUGACGUAUGAUGUAUCACGUAUGAUGUAUCACGUAUGACGUAUGACGUAUGAUCAACGGCAAAGUGGAUAAAACGAGAAUAAAUCACCUCUUACUUUAGCAGCCUUGAAAAAAGGUGGUGUCAGGAAAGGAAUGCUAUUAAUUAUUUGUAUGUUCAAUGGGAUUGAAAAAAAAAAAACAGAACCAAAGUUGAUUGCUACAGACAUUUUUUUUCAUCCUACUUCCCUAAUAAGGGCAAUUACUUUUUUGAGAAAACUCAAAAAGGCAUAUUCCUACAAUAGACAAGGAUUGAAUGAGUUUUGCGAGGCAGAGCUUAAAAUAGAGGAAUUGGCUACAGCUGCAAAGGAACCAGCCUUAAAUAAAUUGCCUGGCUGUGACGACCUAACAUCCAAUUUUCUUUUGGAAUGAACUAAGAUCUACCUUCAUUGAAUGUACUGAGAGUAAUAUUUUCAUGGCCACUUUUGAAAACAAGGUAUAUUACUACCUAUACCGGGAAAUUGAUAGUAUUUGUUCAUUUUCUUAAACCUUUGUGCUUAGUUAUGUACUUUGUGCUUAGUUAUACAAUUAUAACAUUUACAAGAAAAAUGUUUAAAAAAAGAAGAUGACAUCUGAACUCUGAUAUUCUAUUUGUAGGAUGCAUUCAGUCAUUCAGGAUGCAUUCA